ACCAUAUUGAGCUUGUUGGAACAAUGGGAAGUUUUUUAAGUUGUAACAGAAGAAAGAAGAAACCUGAAAACACUGAUAAUGACAAUCAGAGAGAAACAGCAGCAGACACAAAG